rnacentral:rRNA from 1 species
UUGAACGCUGGCGGUAGGCUUAACACAUACAAGUCGAACGAGAUCUUCGGAUCUAGUGGCGCACGGGUGAGUAACGCGUGGGAACCUACCUUUAGUACGGGACAACGUUUGGAAACGGACGCUAAUACCGUAUACGCCCUCCGGGGGAAAGGUCAGCCGCUAAAAGAGGGGCCCGCGUCUGAUUAGCUUGUUGGUAAGGUAAUGGCUUACCAAGGCUACGAUCAGUAGCUGGUCUGAGGGGAUGAUCAGCCACAUUGAGACUGAGACACGGCCCAGACUCCUACGGGAGCAGCAGUGGGGAAUCUUAG